rnacentral:rRNA from 1 species
UUCGUGUGAACAGUGGUUGAUCACGAGUUAGUCGGUCCUAAGUUCAAGGCGAAAGCCGAAAAUUUUCAAGUAAAAUUUAUUAAUAUAUAAAUAUAUAUAUGUAUAAAACACUUGAAUAAUUUUGAACGAAAGGGAAUACGGUUCCAAUUCCGUAACCUGUUGAGUAUCCGUUUGUUAUUAAAUAUGGGCCUCGUGCUCAUCCUGGCAACAGGAACGACCAUAAAGAAGCCGUCGAGAGAUAUCGGAAGAGUUUUCUUUUCUGUUUUAUAGCCGUACUACCAUGGAAGUCUUUCGCAGAGAGAUAUGGUAGAUGGGCUAGAAGAGCAUGACAUAUACUGUUGUGUCGAUAUUUUCUCCUCGGACCUUGAAAAUUUAUGGUGGGGAUACGCAAACUUCUCAACAGGCCGUACCAAUAUCCGCAGCUGGUCUCCAAGGUGAAGAGUCUCUAGUCGAUAGAAUA